UGACUGCAGAGAGGAUGACAGAGAACAGUGGACACACACUUUAACAUGAUGGACUAUAGGACAGGACUGCUGCUUUUAACUCUCUGCUGGGCAGGUGUUGAUGGUCAGACUCUGACAGAAUCUGAACCAGUGGUUAAAAGACCUGGAGAAUCCCACAGACUGACCUGUACAGGCUCUGGAUUCACAUUCAGCGACUAUGAGAUGGACUGGGUCAGACAGACUCCUGGAAAAGGACUGGAGUGGGUUGCCUGGCACGAUAGGUUUAGUAGUAUCACCAAAUACUACUCUCAGUCAGUCCAAGGCCGGUUUACCAUCUCCAGAGACAACAGCAGACAGCAGCUGUUUCUGCAGAUGAACAGUCUGAAGACUGAAGAUUCUGCUGUUUAUUAUUGUGCACGGCAGCCACAGAGUGACUGGGGUCGGUUGAGCAUCUGUACAAAAUCCCACAGUACUCUACUGGGCUGAUAGACUGCACAGUAUACUCUUACCUUUACUUCAUUUGAAAAUAUUUUUUCACAGAUUUUUAUGUAUGGAAUAAGUUUCAAAACUUUUUGAUAAAGUGAAGAUUUGUGAAAAGAAGGAAAAUACAAACAUAAAAACGCUCAAGAUCAUCGACAGUACUCAAUAGAGACAAUUAUAACCACACACACGCAUACUGACACACAAAAACACACACACAAUCUCAUAGCAAAACAAAAAUAUCACCACUCAGAUGUCAGCGUUUGAGUUUUUGAGUUUAAUUCAGAGAAGAGUGACAUGUUUUCCGCCGUAACGAAACUUCAUACACACAAGCCCUAAAUAAUGUCUAAAA